rnacentral:rRNA from 1 species
UACGGAGGGUGCAAGCGUUAAUCGGAAUUACUGGGCGUAAAGCGUGCGCAGGCGGUUUUGUAAGUCUGACGUGAAAUCCCCGGGCUCAACCUGGGAAUUGCGUUGGAGACUGCAAGGCUAGAAUCUGGCAGAGGGGGGUAGAAUUCCACGUGUAGCAGUGAAAUGCGUAGAGAUGUGGAGGAACACCGAUGGCGAAGGCAGCCCCCUGGGUCAAGAUUGACGCUCAUGCACGAAAGCGUGGGGAGCAAACAGG